ACUCAAAGGAAUUGACGGGGGCCCGCACAAGCGGUGGAGCAUGUGGAUUAAUACGUCACUAACCGUAGAACCUUACCCAGGCUUGACAUCCCAAGAAUCCCCUUGAAAGGGGGGAGUGCCUCGCAAGAGGAGCUUGGAGACAGGUGUUGCAUGGCUGUCGUCAGCUCGUGUCGUGAGAUGUUGGGUUAAGUCCCGCAACGAGCGCAACCCUCACCGUAUGUUGCCAGCGUAAAGUCGGGCACUCUUACGGAACUGCCCGGGUAACCGGGAGGAAGGUGGGGAUGACGUCAAGUCAGCAUGGCCCUUACGCCUGGGGCUUCACACAUGCUACAAUGGCCGGUCCAAAGGGUCCCGAGACCGUGAGGUGGAGGCAAUCCCAAAAAGCCGGUCACAGUUCGGAUCGCAGGCUGCAACUCGCCUGCGUGAAGUCGGAAUCGCUAGUAACCGCCGGUCAGCUAAACGGCGGUGAAUACGUUCCCGGGCCUUGCACACACCGCCCGU
rnacentral:rRNA from 1 species